ACACCCCUCUGGCAGGCAGAGGAGAUGCCAUGAUCACCAAGGUAGUUUUCCCCGCGGCGAGGCUCACCCACCGCAGAGCGGGUGUGCUGCCCCCAGCAAUUUCCCGGAACGUGGUAGACUCGCAUAAUUUGUGGUUGGGGGACUGCAUUUGUGCUCUCCCCCU